rnacentral:lncRNA from 1 species
UUGAUGGACAGCCACGGAUGUCCUGUGUGUGCUGACGGACACAAAAAAACACACACAGACAGCCACGAACGUCCUGGGUGUGCUGACGGACAGCCACGGAAGUCCUGUUUGUGAUGGCGGACACCCAAGGACGUCCUGUGUGUACUGAACAAACCGCCCACGUGGGCCAAAAUCACCCAAACAGUCCACAGGAAGGGCCAGCAUGCUGAGUCCAAGGAGCAACGUGCUGAUAUGUGUCCUGAUGGACAGCCACGGACAUCCUGUGUGUGCUGACGGACACACAAGGACACACACUGACAGCCAC